CUACAGCUCCCGGCGCGCCGCGCGGGAAUGCGGGCGGGAAUGCGGCUCCCGGCGUGCCCGGCGCCGCCCCACGGCCUGGCUGGGGGCGCGGGGCCUUGCCCGGGCCGUGGCUGCUCACCCUGCCGCGUCCCGGCCGCCUCCUGGGGCAUUGUCCCGGGCGGCCGGAGAGCGCUGCUGUGGCUCCCUCCGGCCUCCGGGGACCCGACCCGACCCGACCCGGCGCGGCUGCCCGGCUGUGCCCGCCUGCCCUGCCCACCACUCGUUUGCCUAAGGUGGUUGGUUCCCUGAAGAGAAUUAGUUCCCGGUCCGUGUGGUGGCCGCACAACUGUUAGUUAGUUCCCUGUCCUUGUGGUGGUUCACAGCAUCCCCCGGCACCGCCAUUUCACGUCUGAGUUCAGGGGGGAACGGAAAUUUUAAGUGGCUCGGCAGAAAGAACAUCUGAGCCGUGCGGACCUGCGGAUAACCCACAUGUGGGUGCUGCUGAAGGCAGGGCCGCUUCUAAGGCGGCAGGCACCUUCCAAGAGUAACCUUGCCAUGUAAGCUUCAUCUCCAGCCUUGUCAAGCGACAGCAAAACGAAAAGCCUUUUGUUAAAAGCUGGAGAGAAGCAGGAGGGAAAAAAAAAAAGCAUUCUCUCUUCCAGCAGACUCAAUUUGAUAAAGACAAGGAGUGGCCCUUCAUAGCACUUUUUUAAAAGAUGCUGCUCACAAUAGGCUGUGGAUGCGCCCGUGGGGCAAAGGUGCGGCAGGAGGGAGGAUGUUCCCACCUCAGGGGUUUCCUGGCUUCCACCAUCAUUUCUGGCUGCAGACAUUUAGAUGUUUAGCCCCUCUUAGCUAGAAUUCCAGUUGGCUGCUGAUCUCCAUUUUGUGUGCAGAACAGCUUUGUCCCUCGAAUAGUACAGCAUAGCUGAUGCAGGCAAUUAAAGAAGCAAUUCCUGCUUUGGGGAGGGAUCUUUGGUUAGAGGAAACGAGUACUGUCGCAAAAACUUAAAACACACCUGGCUCCUGAUUGUCAGAAUACGUAAUUAAGGCACCUGAGGGACCCGUGUGUGAACCUGAGGUUGGAAGUAAUGCCUUACUUUGCCAGUAAAAUAUGUGGACAGGUCCAUAAGUCCACUGGGUAAUGGUUCUUUGCUCCUUUGGCUAAAAGCUAGGAAACUUGUGGCUAUUAAACUGAAAACUUUUGUGGGAAAUCGUUGCUUCCUUGUUGAGGAAUACCGAGGAAAAUAUUGUUUCUUAAAUCUGCAGAGGUCAAAAAGCUUACCUGAAAAGGCAGGGGCUCCAUUUCCUACUAACAGUAUGCAUUAACUGGAAGAAAUAGUUGUAACAAAUGACUUGUAACAAAUCACUUAGUCUUCAUUGUCUCUUGUUUGUUUUCUGUCUGUAAGAAGCAUUGAAAAGCAGAAGGAGAGGAAAACAUAACUUGUAGCCUGUAGUGACAGGAGAGAGAAAUUUCAUGUCCUAUGAGGAAUAAAUCCCAAGUGUCAUUUAUUUGACUUAAAAAUUGAAUUUUUCCUGUUUAAAUACUAGACUUUAUAGAUAGAGGAAUAACACAGUAUUACAGCUCUGACUUCCUCAGUGCUGCAGCUUAUCUUUUCCUCCAGUUAUCUGCAAAAGACAAGAAAAUCCUUCUUUUGAGCCGAAAGACUGGUUUGGUAGAUGUGAGAAGCAAUGUUAAGCAUGAGUGAAUACUGCAGAAAGCUGUGCCAUGUAUGGUGUGUGUUACAGCAGUUUGCAUUUAUGUGAUUAGUUGGGAGAGUGAGGAAGUAUGGUAUGGGGACACUCCAGGAUUCUCACAGAGAUCAGUCUGGCUGUUUGGUCAAGGGGCAGAGAUCAGCUGUGGGCACUGUCACCACAAAUAAAGCAAAAUGUGUGAACCGAGGGACUUCUGCACUGUAAAACUGAAAAACAAGGUGCCUGAGCCCUUAAUGGAAACACAGAAAAUCUCAGAGAAGAACACAACCAAAGUCAUUGUUCACCAAUCUUUACAUUUACUUGUGCAGUGACGUGCUCCAAUACAGUUCUUGUAUUGGAGCAAUACAUUCAGAGGUUUCUUUGUCUUUAUGGCAAAUGCUAUUUUCUGUUUCAUUUUCAAAAGUGUAGAAAUAGCCAAGAUUAGCAAAGCACCAAUUUUCAGCCAUAAAUGAGAAGUUAGAGAAACCCAAGGUGCCUUAGAUUCAGAGAGGUGCAAUUUCUGGAAAUUCUCUUAAAAGAUUAUAAAAAAUGUAGAAAUCUGGCACAAAGAAUACAUGAGCAUUUAAAAUCAUCUGUUAUUGAUUGUCUUUUCUCCCUUGAUCACCACAGCUGUUCAAAGACAACGAAGAGUGGCCUUGCAAUGGCAUCUGCCAGGUCCCUCAGCAGUCACAAAGGUAUCCUGUCUCAUCCUGUGAAUUGUGCAUGUCCAGCUUGUCUAAGGAGUCCCUGUUGGAUCCACUGAUUCUGCAACAACAACCAACUCAAUCCCUGGAAAGGUCAUGGAGUGCCUCAUUUUGGCGGCCAUCUCUAUUCACAUGGAUGACAAGAGGUGAUUAGGAGUAGUCAGCGUGGAUUCACUAGGGGCAGAUCAUGUUUGACCAACCUGAUUGCCUUUUAGUGAGGCCUUCAACAAGGUCUCUCAGAAUAUCCUCAUAGACAAAGUCAGGAAUUGUGAACUGGGUAGGUGGACAGUGAGGUGGAGGGAGGCCUGGCUGAACAGCAGAUCCCAGAGGGUUGUAAUCAGUGGCACAGGGUCUAGUUGGAGGCCUGUCACCAGUGGUGUCUCCAAGGUUCAAUACUGGGCCCAGUAUUGUUUCACAAGUUCAUCAAUGACCUGGAUGAAGGAGCAGAUGCCUCUCAGCAGGUUCACUGAAAGCACAGAGCUGGGAAGAGCGGUCGAUACCCCAAAGGGCUGCAGAGCCCUUGAGAAGGACCUGGACAGGCUGGAGGGAUGGACAGAGGGGAACUGCCUGCAAUUCAACAAGGGCUAAUGCAGGGUCCUGCACCUGGGGAGAAUAACCCCAGGCACCAGUACAGGCUGGGGGCCAACGUGCUGAGGAGCAGCUCUGUGGAGAAGGACUUGGGGGUCCUGGUGGACAACAAACUGUCCAUGAGCCAGCAGUGUGUCCUGGUGGCCAGGAAGGUCAAUGGAAUCCUGGGGUGCAUUAGGAGAGCAGUGCCAGCAGGUCAAGGGAGGUGAUCCUGCCCCUCUGCCCAGCCCUGGUGAGGUGCACUUGGAAUGCUGUGUCCAGUUCUGGCUCCUCAGGAAUACAAAGGUGAUUGAGGGACUGGAGCAUCUCUCUUACGAGGAAAGGCUGAAGGAGCUGGGACUGUUCAGUCUGGAGAAGAAACAACUGAGAGGGGACCUCAUCCAUGUCUGUGAGUAUCUAAAGGAGGGGUGCUGAGAGGAUGGAUCCAGGCUCCGCUCAGUGGUGCUGAGCAGUAGGACAGAAAUUGAUGCAUAGGAAGUUCCACCUGAAUAUGAGGAAGAGCUUCUUCACUGUGUGGGUGAUUGAGCACUGGAACAGAUUGUCCAGAGAGGUUAUGAAGUCUCUGGAUGCAAUCCUGUGCUCUAGGAUGACCCUGCUUGAGUAGGGAGCUUGGACCAGAUGACCCACAGUGGUUCCUUCCAACCUGCCCCAUUCUAGGGAUUCUGUGAGGGAAGCAGCACUCCUUUCUCAGAAAUAAAGGGGGAAAGGAUAAGACUUUGUGCAGAAGAAUUUUUUGUCCUCUCAUGACAUCACACUUCCCCCAGGAGUCCUUUCUCAGUCUCUCUCUGUUCUUGUGUGCCGUGCAGGUAUAUACAGCCUGUUCUGCUGCAGCAAAGGAAGAGGAGUUAGUCACUGCUGAAUUUGUCAAGGAAAUGUUACAGAGCUGUUAUUUCUCUGUGUAUCACGUAUGCUUCCAUGACUGGCACAUUGCUGACAUAUUGCUGUGUCAGUCAUGAAGACUAACACCUGGUAUUUCCAUCUCAUGGUAUAUGCAAGAGGAAUAAACAUUCAGUGGGAUGGACUCACCACCUUCCCCAUGAACUAUAGCAGGGUAGGGAUGUGCACAGAGGCAAUUUUUAUAAAACAGCUGACGUGCUGCAAGUUUACAUCCUACAGUUUGCAUCCUGUGGUUUCCUAUUCAUCUGCUCAAAUCAAAAUGCCGAGUCUUGCAAUCCAUCCUUAGAAUAGGGCAAGCUGAGUAAUCAUACAGCUGCUUGCUCAGAGGUGGCUGAGUAGAAGAACUUGCACAGGAAGAAUAUAAGCUUGCCUCCACAGCUGUGAAGUUCAAUAAAUUUAGCAGACUGCAAACUACUUAUGAAUUCAAUUUGUUAGCAAGGACACUUUUUUUUUACUUUUGAAGGCUUUCAUAUUUUCCCACAUGAUCACAAUUUGUUAAAGAGGGGUUGAGGUAAGAAAUAAUGUAUGUUAUCAACUCUUUAUAUUGAAUUUGGCAGAUGCUAUGAAAUAAGGAAUUUUAUAAAUAAGAUGAUAUUAGUUUACUGUACCAAUAGAAUGUUUAAUCAGAGUCAUUGUAUGCCACACACAUUAAAAAAAUUUCAAACAAGUACAGAAAUUCAAAGACAUUAAUAAUGGGUUGGUCUGCCAAAGUCUGCCAUAAUCAGCCUGAAUUUGUGUCAAAAUUGUUUUCCAUAAAAAUGAGGGAAAAAAUGGAAGAGCUAAAUUAAGAUACAAGGCCAAAGAAUAUAUUCAAAUUCAAAUUUACCUUGCUUUCACGGAUGGAGAGUGGAUCAGCUCUACAAAAAUAGUAAAUUAUGUAUUACUUUAAAUUAUCAUUAAAAAGAUUGCUGUUGAAUAUUUUACACAAUUUAAAUCAGUCUGCUUGUAUGAGAUGUAUGUACAGUGUCUAAAAGAAUGUUCUUAACAUACUGGCUUUGGUUGUUUUCACUGCAUAAAUAUUUUAAUACUUAAAGAGGGACUCUUA